rnacentral:lncRNA from 1 species
AUGUAUUUAAAAUAACUAUCAAGGUAUUCUCUAAAUGCUAGAACAUAAAUUACAGACCAAGCCCUGAUUUAUGUUAAUGGUGAUCUGAGGGAUGUGUCAAGUGAUUGCUGAUUUUUGUAGUGUUCCCUGGGUGGGGUGGCAGAUCCCCAGAGCACAGGAGGAAGUGCUGCCUUAGGCUCCAUUUGUUGACUUGUAGGUGCAGGUUGUCUCCUAGGACAUCAUAGAAUCUUGUUAAGAACUUGUACUUCUCUUUCAGAUAUCUUCAGAUUUUGUUGAAAGCUGUUGUGCAGGUCCCAGCUAUUCCAUGUCUUCAUGGCAGAUGAGAAGUGCAUGGCUGUCUGUAAGCAGAGUGUAAAAGAUGGAACAGAUUGUUUUCUUAGGUGCACACAGGCUGACACUGAAGAUGCACACGUGCCAUUGAAAUAAACCAAGAGUAUUGUGUGGCUUCCAGAGCCCUGCCUGUACCUGCACCUUUUCCUCUUCCACUCAAGAACUCAUGUUAGCAGGUAAGCUAGUGAAUAUAAGUAUAAGGCUCUAUAGGGACUACCUUAAAUAACACACAUUUCUAGUAAAUGGCAAACAAAUAAGCCAAUUAUAAAUAUUAGACUUCUUGUCAUAGACACUGUGUUUAUUCAGACAAUGUCACAUGUGAUGUUUUUAAUUUAUGUUUUAGCAAUUGGUCUCAAACUUCUGGGGAACAUUUUAUUGUUUCUGUAACUUUUAGGAAAGAACACAGUGUUCUUUAGUCAGGAGUCUGAAUGACAGUGUGGAAGAGAAUGCUUAGAAAGAAUUGCAGUAGAGCCUUUACUGACUCUAGACAGGCA